AUUGACACACUGGUUUUCAUACAAUCCCUGAAGUUAAACAAUGUCGAGCCUGAUUAGUACCUACAUGGGUGACUGCUUGGGAAUACCAGGUACUGCAAG